UUUUUUAUCUUAUUUUUUUUUGGCUCAGGAAGUUGGCCGGCUUUUCGUUUUUUUAUUGUGGAUUUUUUUUUCUUUUCUGUGAAGGGAAAGUGAUUGGCUGAGCUUAAUUUUUUGGUGUUUUGUUGAUGGAAAAAGAGAAUAAUUAUCGUGACCGGAAAGUACUACCUCGAUCGUUUGGUUGAAUUUUUUCCCUCGUGUCUUUCUCUCCUGAUCAUGAUAACUUACUUAGCCUCGAGUGAUGAAAAUUCGUCUUAGUAAAGGAAGGGAAAGUGAUUGACUAAGCUUAAUUUCCUCACCUUUAAAUAAUAAAGGUAUUUUGUGACGAAAAUUUAAUCUGUCCGUUUUUUCUUCACUCUUAAUAAAAAAAAUGUCCUUUAAUUUUAACUACCUAAAUUAAACCAACUCCGUGGUACAGCGGUUAGCGUGACUGGCCCAGGAUCGAAUCUCGGCGUGGGCAGUCAGCUUGCAUAUCACCCAGCUGUUCAUCCUCCCUUUCUGGCUGGUCGAUUAAUGGGUACCUGGGGAAACCUGGGGAAGGUAAACCGUGGUAACCCGGAUGUCACACUGGCCAUGCUCCCCGGGAAAAACUGAUUCAUACCCCCACAAGCUGAAAGGGCCAGUGUAACGGAGAUGAACACCACGGCCACGCGCAGCUAUAGCGUAUACCCCCAACCUUAAUUUUACCUCUGAAUUAAAGGACACUAGUACAAUGACCUCCUGACACAUCGACUGUGAAAAUAGGUCUUGAGCGGUGAAAAGAUGUUCGCUAUAUUUCAUUUUAACUGUCUAAAUGAUUAAAAGAAUACCCAUUUUCUUUCAUUAACCGUCUAAUUUAAAGGAAAACCACUGCAUUGACCUUCUCUUCCCACGUGCCACACCUUUAGUCGCUGCUUCUCCAUCCGUGAAAAUAGACUGUCUCCGAGGAUGCAACGGUUUCUUGGCGGCGGUAGGGAAAUCUUGUUAGCCGCGCCGAGACCGACACACAGAUGGCGCUGAGAGGCUUAGCGAGGCCGAGCUGCUGCAAGACGAGAAGUGGAGGCUUGUCGACAAUUAGUGGAGAUUUUGUACGGCUGUGUGGGGCUGACGGAGCGAGGUGAAGAGUGUCAGGAAGGUUAAAAAUGAAGAAGUUAGAGAAGAACGUUAGAAGGAGAACGUAAAGGAGAAAAACGUUAGGGAAGAGAAACGAAGAACGAGAAGAACAUUAAAAGAAGAUGAACGUUAAUGACAAGACCGUUAGAAAAAAGACAUGUAGAGGAACGUUAAAAAGAAGACGAAGAGGGAGAAGAACGUUGAGGAGGAGAGACGACGAGUGAGAAAAAGAAGAACGAAGAAGAAAAGGAGAGAAAUGAAGAACGUAAGAGACGAGAACGUUAAUGAGAAGAGACGGUGAAAAGAACGUUAGAGGGAAGACGAAGAGGAAAAAGAACGUUAAAUGAAGGAGAGAUGAAGAACGUAAAAGGCAAGAACGUUACAGAAGAUGAUGUAGAGUUAAAAUAACGUUAGAAAGGAGAGACAAAGAGGGAGAAGAACGUUAAGAAAGAUAGAUAGAUAGAUAGAUAGAGAGAGAGAUUUAAAUUUACCCCCCCACCAAAAAACAACAACAGAAAAUACGUGUAAUGGAAAAAAAAAAAAGAAAUACGCAUUCACACAAAAAAAGAAAAACAAAAAAAGAUGAAUCGAAAACUAAAGAAAAUUAUAAAUAAAUGAAAGAAAAGAAGUAAAUAAGUUAAAAAGAAAUAGAAUCACAUACCAAACACACUUAACACCCUUUCUCCCUGAUCGAAAAGAAGAAAAAAAAGAGAAAAACAAGAUCACACACAAAGACUGCCCCUCCCCCUCACCCCCGCCCCUCGAAAAAGUCGUUAGCAGCAAAGAAAAUGUCCAUAACGUCCGUAACAGCCUUUAACAGAUCGGGUUAACGCCCAAAGAGAGGUGUCAAGGCGUCUCCAUUCCCGCCUUCCGAACGAGUUAGCGCCGGAAGGAAGGUUAAAGACGGGAAAAAUUGUGUUAGACAGACCUCUCUGCUAAAAAAUGAAGGAGGGCUUGAUGGAGUGGAAGAAAGGAAGGAAGGAACGAGUAAGAAUGAUGAUAAAUACAGAAUAAGAGAAAGGUGAAGGAGUUAAUGCCUUAAUAAUAUAAAGAAAAGGAAAGAAAGAAAAGAAAGGAAGGAAAGAAAGGAAGGAAGAGACGAGUAAUAAUGAUGAUAAAUGCGUAAGAAAAGGAGGGUGAAGGAGUUAAUGCCUCAGUAAUAUAAAGAAAGGAAAGAAAGGAAGGAAGAAAGAAAGGGGAAGAAGGAAGAAGAAAGAAAGGAAAGUUAAAUGUAGUUGCUAGCGUUCUAAAAGGAAAAAAAAAGUGAAUAAGUGGAGGAGAGAUACAAAUUGAUGGACUAUUAGACUCAGGGUGAAAGAAAUGGAGGAGUAAUACCUUUCUAAAGAGUCAAAUUGUAAGAAAAUGGGAAAAAAAAAUUGAGAAAUGUGAUAGACAGAGAGAUUACUUUAAAAUGAAAACGGUGAAGGAGUGAAGGAGAGAAAGACACCAUUUGGAAGGAUGUCUGUUGUAUAUUGAAAGAGGGGAAGGGGCUAGGUGUCUUUAGGAAGAGUUCAUAUCGCGGAAAAAAAGGUAAAUAGCGGGGAAAUUAUACCAGAAAAACAGCUCUCCUCCACUAUGAAGGGACUAGAGAAGUUGAGGGAGGAAAGAACGAGUAAUGAGGAUGUUUCUGUUGUAUAAUAAAAGAAGAUUGAAAGAGUUAUUGCUACAAUGAUGGAAAGAAGAUAAAAAUUGUAUGAGGUUGGCAGACUUCUAAAAGGAAAAGAGUAAAGAAGUGAAAAGAAGAAAUAAAUGAGUAGAAAAGAUGUUUGUUGUAUAAUGAAAGAAAGGGGAAGAAAUGGGGGUAAAUUUUGAGAUAGUUAAACCUCAGUAGUACAAAGUAAAGGGAAAUUGAAUGUGGCUGGCAGAGUUCUAAGAGUUAAAAAGAAAAAGAGUGAAAGAGUAAACGGAAAAAAAGAAACUAGCAAGAACGAUGUUUGUUGUAUAAAAAAAGAAGGUAGUGAGGAAAUGGAGAUAAUUGUGGAAAGAGUUAAUCCCUUAUUAA